rnacentral:rRNA from 1 species
UACGUAGGGUGCGAGCGUUAAUCGGAAUUACUGGGCGUAAAGCGUGCGCAGGCGGUUCGUCGUGUCCGAUGUGAAAGCCCCGGGCUCAACCUGGGAAUGGCAUUGGAAACUGGCGGGCUUGAGUGUGGCAGAGGGGGGUGGAAUUCCGCGGUGUAGCAGUGAAAUGCGUAGAGAUGCGGAGGAACACCGAUGGCGAAGGCAGCCCCCUGGGCUAACACUGACGCUCAGGCACGAAAGCGUGGGGAGCAAACAGG